rnacentral:rRNA from 1 species
UCGUCAGCUCGUGUCGUGAGAUGUUGGGUUAAGUCCCGCAACGAGCGCAACCCUUAUCGUUAGUUACCAUCAUUAAGUUGGGGACUCUAGCGAGACUGCCAGUGACAAGCUGGAGGAAGGCGGGGAUGACGUCAAAUCAUCAUGCCCCUUAUGACCUGGGCUACACACGUGCUACAAUGGAUGGUGCAGAGGGAAGCGAAGCCGCGAGGUGAAGCAAAACCCAUAAAACCAUUCUCAGUUCGGAUUGUAGUCUGCAACUCGACUACAUGAAGUUGGAAUCGCUAGUAAUCGCGAAUCAGCAUGUCGCGGUGAAUACGUUCUCGGGCCUUGUACACACCGCCCGUCACACCACGAGAGUUGAUAACACCCGAAGCCGGUGGCCUAACCGCAAGGAAGGAGCUGUCUAAGGUGGGAUUGAUGAUUGGGGUGAAGUCGUAACAAGGUAUCCCUACGGGAACGUGGGGAUGGAUCACCUCCUUU